UACGGGAGGCAGCAGUGGGGAAUAUUGCGCAAUGGGGGCAACCCUGACGCAGCCAUGCCGCGUGAAUGAAGAAGGCCUUCGGGUUGUAAAGUUCUUUCGGUAGCGAGGAAGGCAUUUAGUUUAAUAGACUAGGUGAUUGACGUUAACUACAGAAGAAGCACCGGCUAACUCCGUGCCAGCAGCCGCGGUAAUACGGAGGGUGCGAGCGUUAAUCGGAAUAACUGGGCGUAAAGGGCACGCAGGCGGUGACUUAAGUGAGGUGUGAAAGCCCCGGGCUUAACCUGGGAAUUGCAUUUCAUACUGGGUCGCUAGAGUACUUUAGGGAGGGGUAGAAUUCCACGUGUAGCGGUGAAAUGCGUAGAGAUGUGGAGGAAUACCGAAGGCGAAGGCAGCCCCUUGGGAAUGUACUGACGCUCAUGUGCGAAAGCGUGGGGAGCAAACAGGAUUAGAUACCCUGGUAGUCCACGCUGUAAACGAUGUCGAUUUGGGGGUUGAACUUUGAGUUUGGCGCCCGUAGCUAACGUGAUAAAUCGACCGCCUGGGGAGUACGGCCGCAAGGUUAAAACUCAAAGAAA
rnacentral:rRNA from 1 species